UACGUAGGGUGCGAGCGUUAAUCGGAAUUACUGGGCGUAAAGCGUGCGCAGGCGGUUUUGUAAGCCAGAUGUGAAAGCCCCGGGCUUAACCUGGGAAUGGCAUUUGGGACUGCAAGGCUUGAGUGCGGCAGAGGAGACUGGAAUUCCCGGUGUAGCAGUGAAAUGCGUAGAUAUCGGGAGGAACACCGGUGGCGAAGGCGGCAUCCUGGACCAACACUGACGCUGAGGAGCGAAAGCCAGGGGAGCAAACGGG
rnacentral:rRNA from 1 species